rnacentral:rRNA from 1 species
UGGGGAAUAUUGCACAAUGGGCGCAAGCCUGAUGCAGCCAUGCCGCGUGUGUGAAGAAGGCCUUCGGGUUGUAAGCACUUUCAGCGAGGAGGAAGGUGGUGAGCUUAAUACGCUCAUCAAUUGACGUUACUCGCAGAAGAAGCACCGGCUAACUCCGUGCCAGCAGCCGCGGUAAUACGGAGGGUGCAAGCGUUAAUCGGAAUUACUGGGCGUAAAGCGCACGCAGGCGGUUUGUUAGGUCAGAUGUGAAAUCCCCGGGCUCAACCUGGGAACUGCAUUUGAAACUGGCAAGCUAGAGUCUCGUAGAGGGGGGUAGAAUUCCAGGUGUAGCGGUGAAAUGCGUAGAGAUCUGGAGGAAUACCGGUGGCGAAGGCGCCCCCUGGACGAAGACUGACGCUCAGGUGCGAAAAGCGUGGGGAGCAAAACAGGAUUAGAUACCCUGGUAGUCCACGCUGUAAAACGAUGUCGAUUUGGAGGUUGUGCCCCUUGAGGCGUGGGNUUCCGGAGCUAACGNGUUAAAUCGACCGCCNGGGGNGUACGGCCGCAAGGUUAAAAACUUAAAUG